rnacentral:rRNA from 1 species
CCUGACCCAGCGACGCCGCGUGAGUGAUGAAGGUCUUUGGAUUGUAAAGCUCUUUCGUAAGGAAAGAAGGUUGUGACGAAGAAACGCGUUGCAAUUUGACGGUACCUUAAGAAGAAGCCCCGGCUAAUUACGUGCCAGCAGCCGCGGUAAUACGUAAGGGGCAAGCGUUAUCCGGAAUUAUUGGGCGUAAAGGGCGUGCAGGUGGUGGUGCAUGUCGAAUGUGAAAACACAGGGCUCAACUCUGUGAUUGCAUUCGAAACUGCAUCACUAGAGUGCUGGAGAGGAAGACGGAAUUCCUAGUGUAGCGGUGAAAUGCUUAGAUAUUAGGAAGAACACCCGUGGCGAAGGCGGUCUUCUGGACAGUAACUGACACUGAAACGCGAAAGUCAGGGGAGCAAAC